AGAAUCACAGAGCUGGAAAUGACCCAGAAGGCCAACCCUUGGACUGUGGUCCUCAGAUGAUAGGAGGACUUGGUCUCCAGGACUUUGGCUUCUCAUGUGUCAGAAUUUGAUCGACACCUUUGAGUUCAAACCUGCACUCAACCAUGGGUUCAAUGGAAGACCUUGGGUCAGUAGCGUCUUUCCUGAUUUACGGAAGAGUCAAACUGGAAUAACCUGGGAAUCACCUGUUUGCUUAUGGUAGAUGAAGUGCCCGGAGCCAGACAUAAGUAAUUUAGCAGCUGAUCAAUUAUGCUGUAGCGGAAUACAGGCUAAUGAGCCUGCCACCUGUUGCUGGAACCUAGCCAAGCAGCAUCAAGAUGCUCAGCAAACCCCCUUCCCCACAUUAAAGAGCUGUUGAAACUUCA